AAUGAAGCCGGGAAACCGGUCCUUCUAACCCUUGAUUAUAAUAAUUUGUUGCUUUGGUGGGCCGCGCAAGCACCGGCUUCGGCUGGAUCGUGCCCGCCAGAGGACCACAACUCUGUACCAAAUGUCGUUUGAGUACUAUAAAAUAGUUAAAACUUUCAACAACGGAUCUCUUAGUUCU
rnacentral:misc_RNA from 1 species